UGGUCCUGGCAUCGAUGAAGAACGCAGCGAAAUGCGAUAAGUAAUGUGAAUUGCAGAAUUCAGUGAAUCAUCGAAUCUUUGAACGCACAUUGCGCCCAUUAGCAUUCUAGUGGGCAUGCCUGUUCGAGCGUCAUUUCAACCCCUCAAGCCCGCGUCGCUUGGCGUUGGGAGCCCGCGGGGGCGACCCCCCCCGCGGCUCCUCAAAGGUAGUGGCGGAGCCGGUCUCGCACCCCAGACGUAGUAGAUCCUGUCUCGUCUGCGGUCGGGCCCGGCCCCCCGCCGUAAAACCCACCAAUUCUCCAAAGGUUGACCUCGGAUCAGGUAGGAAUACCCGCUGA
rnacentral:misc_RNA from 1 species